UGUCUGUGUCUGUGUGUGUUUUGGUGCGUGUGUCGCCUUAGGUCAUGGCAGUUUCCUGCGGCGUCGCUAUGACAACCAGCCACACUCUCCUCAUGCAGGA